CCUACGGGCGGCUGCAGUGGGGAAUAUUGGACAAUGGGGGAAACCCUGAUGCAGCGACGCCGCGUGAGGGAUGAAGUUUUUCGGAUCGUAAACUUCUGUCGCGAGGGACGAAAAAUAACGUUACCUAGUAAGAAAGCCCCGGCUAACAACGUCCAAGCAGCCGCGGAAAUACGUAGGGGGAAAGCUUUGUCCGGAAUGACUGGGUGUAAAGGGAGCGUAGGCGGCGCAGCAAGUUAGAUGUGAAAUCCCGUGGCUUAACCGCGGAACUGCAUCGAAAACUGGUAAGCUGGAGUGCAGGAGAGGUGAGUGGAAUUCCUAGUGUAGCGGUGGAAUGCGUAGAUAUUAGGAGGAACACCAGAGGCGAAGGCGACUCACUGGACUGUAACUGACGUUGAGGCUCGAAAGCGUGGGGAGCAAACAGGAUUAGAUACCCCUGUAGUC
rnacentral:rRNA from 1 species